rnacentral:lncRNA from 1 species
AUGGUCAGUGCGCGCCCUACCUUCCAGGGCCCGCUUAAGGCUGCCUGCCCCCUGCUCUUCAGAGCCAGGGCAGACCUUGUACGAAGUGGGCAAACAGCCGGCACACAUCACAGUGGAAUCAGACCCCUAGUGUCGCAACAAAGAUGGCUGAGCAGUGGUGCAGUGCCCACCAUGGACGGCUGUCCCCAGCCAGCCCCGCUGUGGGCCACCCAGCCCCCGAGGCACCAAGAGCUGUCCCCAGCCAGCCCCGCUGUGGGCCACCCAGCCCCCGAGGCACCAAGAGCUGUCCCCAGCCAGCCCCGCUGUGGGCCACCCAGCCCCCGAGGCACCAAGAGCUGUCCCCAGCCAGACCCGCUGUGGGCCACCCAGCCCCCGAGGCACCAAGAGCUGUCCCCAGCCAGCCCCGCUGUGGGCCACCCAGCCCCCGAGGCACCAAGAGCUGUCCCCAGCCAGCCCCGCUGUGGGCCACCCAGCCCCCGAGGCACCAAGAGCUGUCCCCAGCCAGCCCCGCUGUGGGCCACCCAGCCCCCGAGGCACCAAGAGCUGUCCCCAGCCAGCCCCGCUGUGGGCCACCCAGCCCCCGAGGCACCAAGAGCUGUCCCCAGCCAGCCCCGCUGUGGGCCACCCAGCCCCCGAGGCACCAAGAGCUGUCCCCAGCCAGCCCCGCUGUGGGCCACCCAGCCCCCGAGGCACCAAGAGCUGUCCCCAGCCAGCCCCGCUGUGGGCCACCCAGCCCCCGAGGCACCAAGAGCUGUCCCCAGCCAGCCCCGCUGUGGGCCACCCAGCCCCCGAGGCACCAAGAGCUGUCCCCAGCCAGCCCCGCUGUGGGCCACCCAGCCCCCGAGGCACCAAGAGCUGUCCCCAGCCAGCCCCGCUGUGGGCCACCCAGCCCCCGAGGCACCAAGAGCUGUCCCCAGCCAGCCCCGCUGUGGGCCACCCAGCCCCCGAGGCACCAAGAGCUGUCCCCAGCCAGCCCCGCUGUGGGCCACCCAGCCCCCGAGGCACCAAGAGCUGUCCCCAGCCAGCCCCGCUGUGGGCCACCCAGCCCCCGAGGCACCAAGAGCUGUCCCCAGCCAGCCCCGCUGUGGGCCACCCAGCCCCCGAGGCACCAAGAGCUGUCCCCAGCCAGCCCCGCUGUGGGCCACCCAGCCCCCGAGGCACCAAGAGCUGUCCCCAGCCAGCCCCGCUGUGGGCCACCCAGCCCCCGAGGCACCAAGAGCUGUCCCCAGCCAGCCCCGCUGUGGGCCACCCAGCCCCCGAGGCACCAAGAGCUGUCCCCAGCCAGCCCCGCUGUGGGCCACCCAGCCCCCGAGGCACCAAGAGCUGUCCCCAGCCAGCCCCGCUGUGGGCCACCCAGCCCCCGAGGCACCAAGAGCUGUCCCCAGCCAGCCCCGCUGUGGGCCACCCAGCCCC